CUUAUACUUUCUCUAUCCGAAAAUAUUUGUCAUCAAAAUAAAUAAAAGAGGGUGUAUCUAGACAUAUUUUAGUUUAGAUGCAUCUUUUUUAUUCAUUUUAAAGACAAGUAUUUUGGGAGGGAGGGAGUAUUAC
rnacentral:pre_miRNA from 1 species